GUUCGCUAAGCGGACACCGGGCUGAGCUGUGCUCCUUGGAGCAGGAAUGAGGCUACUAAAGCUACUAAACCGGCUUCCUACACUGAGGUUUGAUAUUAGGCAGCUUUCUUCUCAGUAUAAGCUGUUUUUUCUUGUGAGAUCAAGAAGAUGGAACCUAGCACGUGCAUGUGAAAAUAAAAGAAAAAUCAGUACUAGGAGUGGCUUGAAAAAAAUUGUACUAUUUGUGCUCUUUCAACAAUACGCCUGAAAAAAAAAAAGUAGAGUGUGGUCAGAAAAGUUCUUUAAACUUGCCAUUUUUCUGUGAUUUGUGCAGUUCAACAAUAAGUGGAAAGUAUGAACAGGAAUGCAGUGUUUCCAUGUCCUGAAACAAUAUUUUAAAACUGCUUGUGGGAAGAGAUUCCAAAGAUGUUCAGAAAAGCUAGUAAACCAUGCACACAAGUUUGUUGUCAUAAAGUGUGGUGGCAUGGCUCAUGGUGUUAUUCUUAAUCCACGUAUCAGAGUCGUCAUGUCAAGAUUUCUCUUUCUUGGAACUGAUAAGAAGUAUCCUUGACAUCCUUCUCUUCCUCCACCCUACACUGUCUGCCAGUGAAGCUCAAAGAGGGCAUUCUGUCAUACAUGGGAUUCCUGCACCUUGAGCAAAACAAAUAAAAUGGAGAGUCUUUCCAGUAACCACUGCAUAAGAGCAUGAAGGAAUACUGUGGUUUCUUUAGAAUGAAGCUUCUGUAGUUUUCUUUGUAGCCUGGGUGUCACCACAGAAUCCAGGUCCUCUGUCGCUGUAUGACCACUUUUGAGGUGGGAAAAAGAUGGAACAUCUGAAGAAAUGUCACUUCUUUACUGGAAUCUGCUUUGACAUUGGGAUGAGGUUAUUAGUCAGUCUUCCAGUGCAACCAGUAGCCUUUCAAGCUGUAAAGUGUACAAUAGAAAUUCGACCUAACAGAAAUCCACAUGCAUAUGUCUGUGUUAUAAUUAAGACUCAUCAUAAUAACAGAAUUCAACUUAAGAAAAUGUCACAGAUUUUUUUUUCACAGAUAUUUUUGUGAUUAUAUGAAUUAGUGCUAGACUGAAAGUAUUUUUUAAAAAUGGGCUUUAUGACUCUUAAUACAUUAAGCCAGUGGCAUUUCUUAACAUAAACGACAUUCUAAAACAAAUAAUUGUACAGCCAUACUGCUCAGCAAUUCCCUGUAUAUUAGUUUUUCAGAAUUCAAUGUGAUAUGCUUUGUGGUUUUUCAGAGGUGCUGAGAACCCGCUGCGUCUGCUAAGCUCGUUUACAACUGCACAUAGUCAUGAAGGUUGGCUUACGUUAGAUACAUAUGAGCAAAUUCAAUGAACAUCUAAAACUUCUGGCAAAGUCUGAGUGCCACAAAUGUUACAUCAGAUAUUGUGAACAUCUGAAAUAAAUAGCCAAGAUGUAUGGACAGAGAAAUGUAAUACUAAAAAAUGUAGGCAAAUUUGGCAUUUGUUUUUCUUUCUCUGCCUUAUAAACUGAGCACGGUUGUGCUUUAAUAAAAUCUUGCUUACUGAUA